UGUCGUGUCCAAAAGCAACACAAAAACACAAAGAAAAAGGUCCGUUUGAACAACCAACAAAAUCCGAAGUUGUAUUGGAAACCAUAUUAAGUGGACACAGAGAUUUAUCGGACACAGCCUGAUUGGACAGUAACGAUGUUAGAUGCCGCAUAUUGAAUAAACUCCGACGGACCAAGAAUUUAAAUAAAUAUUCAAGCACUCGGUUGAAACCAAAAUUUGUCAGAUGUGUAAAAGUAUUUCUAAAGUCUCAUUUCCAGCCGAUUGCGGCAAACGGAAGCCCCGGUAUAUAUAAAUUUAUACGGCACUACACGUUCAACUUAAAGAAGACGGGAUUCAAGGUCAAGGGGAUUACAUAGAAUUUUUUUCUCCGCUGUAGAAUCAGUAAUCACUCAAUUUUAUGUCAUGAAAAAUCUUUAUAGCGUGGUUGACUGGAUACACAACACAAAAAAAAUAUUUACGCUUAAAAACAUUUUUCUUUGAAUCGUAUCUUUCAGCGACGGUUUGAUGGUGACAAAUUAUUUUUGUCCAAAAGCUGACGGUUUGAUAAACGAAGGAUAUGUGUCGAAAAAUUGUUUUUCAGACGCCAAUUACAGUAUAAGGAAAAAAAAAUCACGCCGCGGUAAAUGCUCGUUUCCAACUGUUUGAACAAUUUUAAGAUAAUGUUCUUUAUUCAAUCUAACAUAUUCCCAAAGUUGGAGAUAUCAAAAAACUGUCUUCGGAAUUCAAAGGAUGACUCAUUUAUAAUGCUCGCAGUUCCACGAUGACAAUGAUUAUACCACUACAUGAUAUAGUAAGAUGGGAUGGCAUAAAGAUAUGCAUCGUAUAUAUAAUUUAUUGUUAACAAAAAACCAAAUGAUAAAUUCGUCGAUUCUUGAUCAGCCCUACUAAAAACAAAUAGACUUUCCGGAACGUAUAUAAUCCUGUGAUAGACGUGACAAGUUAGUGAUUGGUUGCGAAAUCAUAUACUGGUGCUAUCUCGCAUGUGUAUUUAAUUGUAAGAGGGGUCUGAAAAAGAGGGAUUCCUGGUCCGACAGAGUAAUAUAACACUAUAUUUGAAUAUUUGAAGCAUUUCAUACUGAACUUCCAAGAUGUUUAAAUGUCAUAGAUAUUCUGCCGUGCUUUUACAGUAAGAAACCGGUUUCAGAUUCAUAUAAAUGUGUAUUUUUGUACGUCAGUUAUGUAACAAUUUCCUCCGAAGGAUUUUUUUUCAACCGACCUUCAAAUUCUGAGCCGUAUCUAUAUUUUUAGCACUCAUUUUUAACACUACUUGAUGGAAAAGAUGUAGGAUUGAUUAUUACGGUGGUAAUUAUUUUGGGGAUAAAAAUCUGCACGGAAUGAAUAUUGUAAGAAUGCGGAUUUCUCUAUUUAAUUGUAUAUCCUCACGUAUUUACUUUAUGUACCUCACGUAUCAACUUUUCCAGAAGUUGAGUAGCAAUUUUUGCUCUCAAAGAUAAUUUCAGGAUUUAAGGUAUUUAAGGAGCAGUAGACACCCUGUAUGUUAUUAUCAUAAGUUAAUACUCCGUAUUUUACGCUCAGCAAAGUUAGUUCUGUCACUGACAGCCUGAUUCUUUAUGUAUUUGCUUAUUGAUUCAAUUGGUGCUUUGCAACAGUGGCAACCAAACUCGCUAACUGUAACUCUAUAGUGCGUAGUGUACAACAUUAUUUCACAAAGAUGAUGAAGCUUGUAUGCAAAAUAGAGACUACAUGGCAUGCGAUAAAUGAAAUAAUUAUAGAAUUAUACAAUCCCUUCCUUUCCCAAUGUUGGAUAUAAAUACUUGUUGCCUAUCAAGAAAUGUAGAUAAAUAUAACUAACACAAAACGUGACUGGUAUUUGAAGGGUGGUCGUGUAAAAAGCUCUUUGAGAACUGCGCAUCAAUAGACAGUUCACUUACAACGAUACCCAUUCAACGGAUCAUUCAUUCGGACAGGUUGUCACUGUUACAAAAGACAAUUAUUUUUAUUUACACAAUUUGAAACUCGAUAUGGUCUGAUGCUAAGGUAUAAAAAACUACGACGACUGAAGCAGGAUUAUGCCACAACCACACUUUUCGGGACCCUCCUUGAAUGAUGAUUAUUCCAUAAAUUGACUACAUUAUGUAUUAAAGUUACAAUUGCUAAUAUAAACACUAUUUUCUCUAGUUGAUACUAAAACUGUCAAUUGAUGACGAAAAAAGCUUUGGCUCAUACUUAGAAAGACGUAUCUUUUUCUUUCGUAGUUAUCUACGUAUAUGUUUAUUUAAAUUAGCUAAUUACAGUCUCUGAGCAAACCUGUAGUGAACACAUCAUCCAUAACUGAAAAUAAAUAUAUUCAUCUGAUUUUCAGGAAGAAACAAAAAUAUUUUCAUUCGGCUAACCAUGGCUGGAUGGGUUUGGUUAAUAUCGGGAUUAAAUUGGAUUGAACUAUGGAUUGACCUUCGUGACACACAUGAAUCCAUAAAAAGUUUUCCUCAUUCUGGUGCGACCAUGUGCCUAAUUGUCAUACGUCGUUUUACACUUUGCUGUACUGUCUUCGCGUGUCUAUUCUGCACUCGAAGAAAACUGAGACGUGAUAUCUACGAUGUUGAAUCUGUCGAUUGCAUCGUUCGUAUCAUAAAUUAUGUUAAACCAAGAGACAUUGAUUCAGAAUUAAUCUUAGAAUAUAGUAUAAUAGAAUUUUAAUACUAAUAUUUUACAGUUAUACGUAUAGUGUUGUAUGUAGUGAAAAAAGGCUUAUUUUUAUACUCCAAGCUCAUUAUAAUAUCUACAACAAGUAUAUAAUAUUUUAAUCAAGUUAUUCAAGCUCCUACAAUGGCUAUAUACACUUUUCGAAAAUCACACGUAAAAUACGUGUUUAAUCAAUUGCAAUUAAACUUCUCAUAAACAAACAUUUCAUUGUGUAUUUGAAAAUGAAAAUUACUUAAUAAGACAAAAAAUUAUGAUCAUCUUGCUGUCAACUAGUGGCAACUUAUAUUCGUUUCACAGUAAGACUUAUACUGUAAGAUCGUUCCUAUGUUACGUUUUAAUACUCCAAUCUGUCUGUCGACUGAAUGUGAAUUAUUUCUAUAAGAGUUCAAUUGUAAGUAUA